AUUUUCCCAUAAUCCUUUGCAGAAACUUGGCUUAUUUGCCUUUGUUUGACUUUGACACGUACUUAUGGCUAGAUUCUAUUAGAUAAAAUCAGCUUUUCUCUUGAAACUGAAUUGUAGUUUCCCUAUUGAGUUUAAUUGGGCAAAUGCUAUUCACUUAACUUAGUUAUCGAAUAGAAUCUAGCCUUCAGUUGUGUAAAGCUUGCUUAUGGAGAUUGAGGGAAUUGAUUAACAGAAGCACUGCAAGGCCAAAGUGUUGGAUUCUAUUUCUAUAUAUAUUGUAU